AUUGUUGAUUUAUAAGGCGAAAAUGCGUUUUUGCAACUUGCACGCAGCCCUUUCACGGCGAAAACAGGGGUUCGAGUCCCCUUGGGCGCGCCA
rnacentral:tRNA from 1 species